rnacentral:rRNA from 1 species
UACAGAGGUCUCAAGCGUUGUUCGGAUUCAUUGGGCGUAAAGGGUGCGUAGGUGGCGCGCUAAGUCAGGUGUGAAAUUUCGGAGCUUAACUCCGAAACUGCAUUUGAUACUGGCGUGCUUGAGGACUGGAGAGGAGACUGGAAUUUACGGUGUAGCGGUGAAAUGCGUAGAUAUCGUAAGGAAGACCAGUGGCGAAGGCGGGUCUCUGGACAGUUCCUGACGCUGAAGCACGAAGGCCAGGGGAGCAAACGGG